UGAAGUUCUAGAUGAAUCUAUAGAAAAGAGCAAUCAGCAAGUUACCUUUUUAUAUAUUCAACCAAAUGUUUUCGAAACCAAUUUUGGUGAUACAUUUUUUGAAUUGCUGAUUGACAAAGCAGAUGACAAUACAGAUUUAAAUAUUAAUUUUCCUGUAAACGAGAUUUUGGACACAUCUUUAAAUACUUUAAUAGCAGAAAUAAAUGACCAAGAUGAUGAAACGACAGAAAUAAUAAAUAACUCAGAUGGUAAUAUAUAAGGAUUUAAUUGUUUUUAUGUAAACUAGUGGUCAUGUGUCACAUAAUUUGUGUCAGAUACAAUGGAUGAUAUAUUUAUCAUUAAAUAAUUAUGUAUACUUUAUUUAUAAAUAAUACACACACAUCAAUGUAAUCAAAUUUUUCAGAUAUUACUUCUAAUUUAUCUGAAAAUAGAAAUCUACGCAUUUCUUUUGAAUCAGUUAUACAA